rnacentral:rRNA from 1 species
AUUGAACGCUGGCGGCAUGCCUUACACAUGCAAGUCGAGCGGCAGCGCGGGGGCAACCCUGGCGGCGAGCGGCGAACGGGUGAGUAAUACAUCGGAACGUGUCCAGUAGCGGGGGAUAACCUGUCGAGAGAUAGGCUAAUACCGCAUACGACCUAAGGGUGAAAGCGGGGGAACGCAAGGCCUCGCACUAUUGGAGCGGCCGAUGUCGGAUUAUCUAGUUGUCGGGGUAAAAGCCCACCAAGGCGACGAUCCGUAGCUGGUCGGCGAGGACGAUCAGCCACACUGGAACUGAGACACGGUCCAGACUCCUACGGGAGGCAGCAGUGGGGAAUUUUGGACAAUGGGGGCAACCCUGAUCCAGCCAUGCCGCGUGAGUGAAGAAGGCCUUCGGGUUGUAAGGCUCUUUCGGCGGGGACGAAACGGUUCGUGACAACACCACGGACUAAUGACAGUACUCGCAGAAGAAGCACCGGCUAACUACGUGCCAGCCGCCGCCGUAA